rnacentral:rRNA from 1 species
AUUGAACGCUGGCGGCAGGCCUAACACAUGCAAGUCGAGCGAGCGGCGGACGGGUGAGUACUGUCUGGGAAACUGCCUGAUGGCGGGGGAUAACUACUGGAAACGGUAGCUAAUACCGCAUACCAUCAGAUGUGCGCAGAUGGGAUUAGCUAGUCGGUGGGGUAACGGCUCACCUAGGCGACGAUCCCUAGCUGGGCUGCGAGGAUGACAAGCCAAAAUGGAACUGAGAAACGGUCCAGACGCCUACGGGAGGCAGCAGUGGGGAAUAUUGCACAAUGGGCGCAAGCCUGAUGCAGCCAUGCCGCGUGUGUGAAGAAGGCCUUCGGGUUGUAAAGCACUUUCAGCGGGGAGGCGUUAACCGCAGAAGAAGCACCGGCUAACUCCGGGCCAGCAGCCGCGGGAAUUC